AAUAUCUAAACCCCCCAGGAAAGCGAGGCCUCCCGGGGCACUCCCGCGCGCUGGGAGCGCUCGUGCCGCCGGCGCGUGUCCCCGUUCCGGCCUUACGGCGUUCUGUCGACCGUCCGAUAAAUCCCGUCGCGGGCGGUGACCGGGUGUUCGGCCACGUCGUCUCUCUACAACCCCCGUCGCCCUUCGCUGUGCCGUCGCCGCGCCCUGGCUGGUGCCGGUUUCGUGCUCACCGCCUGCGCGUGCCAUGGACGCGCUGCCGUGUGUCCUCCGCUCUCUUCCUCUCUUUUCCCCUCACACCCGCGGUCAUCUCUUCCCUUCCGUUGCCGCUGCAGUGAGACCGGAGCACCGGCGUCGACGGCCAAAUCCGCCUGCGUUUUCCGAGUCCGAGCCCAGAUACGGCGACCCACAGCCGUGAACGAUAAGCCGCAAGGUCGCGUUCCUUCUCUCCGGCCAGGCCUCCCUGUCUCCCCGCCGGAUUUAACACGCCAUCGAUUUGUUCUCCAGGUCCAACACCGCUCUUCUCCUCUUGCUCUCUGUGUCGUCGUCUCGGUCGGCUGGUGCCAGUUCUGUGCGCAUGCCAUUGCCGCGCUGCCGCGUGCCUAGGCCUCUCAUUCUCUCUUUUCCCCUCACACCACUGCUUACCUUUUUUCCCCGUCGCCGCUCCAGUGAGAUCCGGCCACCACCUCUGGCCAAAUCCGGCGGCGUCUGUCAACCGCCCGCCCAGAUCCGGUGUACCAGUGCUGUUGAGGUGAGGGCCGACCACCUCCGCCGGACCCGUGGCCUAGCAGCGCCGUCGUGUCGUGGGCCGUGCUCCUCGCCGCCUUGACGGACCGCGCUCUGGCUCCACCGUGUGUCCUCCUGCUGCUGCCGUAGAGCCGGGCCUGCCAGAGCCACUGUUGGUCGCUGCCUCUGUGUUUCGCCAUGUCUCCAUUGGUCAACCACUCCACCAGAUAUGUAGUCCUUCACAUGCAUCAACUCUAGCAACUUCCAGUCGAAUAGAAAUUCCUGAAGUUCAGUCCGGACAAGGGCAGGACCUUCGUUCUCCCACAUCAGGCUGCCCCUUUUAGACUGAAUGUAUUUUAUUAAGCUCACCACAUGAUGCUUAUUCUCUCUUUCACUGCUUUCAACCUCAUACAGUUCAAGAUGCCGGCCAUGAAGUGAACAGAGGAGAUUCACGCGCAAAUCCUGGCAAUGUUCGAGCACAAUGUCUUCUGAGCUAUCCAUUGAGACACUUUCACGGAAUCCUUUAUCAUUUUCAUAAGCAAUUUCAACUAGGAUAAUCAAAGCGCUGUCAGCACGUGAAAGCAAGUGCUGGUGCCCCUGUGAUGCUGACUGGAGCUCAUUAGCAUGUUUAUUUCCUUUGAGGAAACCCUGAAGUAACUUGGGAGAAACAUUAAGCAUCAAGCUUGCAUUUGGGCUGCUAACACUCUGUGAUAUUUGUCGUGGUAGUGGCAGCCCACUGAAGAUACCUAUGUUACCUUAUGGGAUGAUACAGAAAUUAAGGUGCAUCAAAUCGGUUGGACAAAAAAAAAGAUCAAAUAUACAGUGCCUUGUGUCUUUGCUUUAAUUAUAUCUGUACCAAAAUUGGAGUUGGCUAGAUACAUAUGGUUCUAAUUGGUCUGGCUUUAGUUGCUUCCUAAGACAAUUUACCAUAAGUUUUUUUUCAUUACUUAUAUUGAUUUAGCUUCGAUCAUGGCAAGGCUGCUUCAUGGCAUCUACAAUAGCGAAAAUACUAACCUACGGUCUGUGUAAGCUAUCAUCUGUUUGUUUAUUUUGAAGGAUAUUUAGCCUUUGGUUAUCAUGCAGCCUAUUUUUUUUCCAGCACAUCAGCACACAUAUACAGUAUUCUCUCCAUGCCGCACCUCCAUUGCGCAUCAAUUUGCUUUAGGCUUUUGCAUGUAUUCCUAUGUAGAACCUCAUAGAGAUGCUUCCAUUUUAAAUAGUACGUGUAUUAUACUGCUCCAUUAUAUGGUUCCUCUAUCUAUAUAUCAGUCUAAACCUUUUUGGGAUGGUGGUUACCGUAUAUUUCCUUGAUUUAUUCAUAGCUGCUCUGUUUGGGCAUUCUUUAUUAUUCAGUAAAAGUUAGGCUUUGUUGGUUACAGCCAUGUGCAAGAAUGUUGCUUAGGGUGGAUAGAGAUUGAUAUUCAUACAACACGGAUUGGAGGAGGUUUGUGCCAACAAGGCUUUUUGUGUGAAAUAUUGUUAAGCAUUUCUUAAUAUGAAAAACAAAUGUUUAGACCCAACAUCGAUGUUCUUCAUGCAUUGGAACGAUAUUGACCCAUGAGCGGUGAUGUCAUGUGAAACCGUCAUAUUUGCUUACAACAGGUAGAUAUUGUUGGCCUCUUACAAUUUGUACAUGUUCUUACCAUGCCUAAAUUUUAGACGAUUCAUUCUGUUCAGAUUAACCAGGUAUAUUAUAGAGGCUUACAGUGAUGUUAGACCAUAGCAUUAUGCCAUUAAAUCUAGCCAGGAGAUCGAAUUUGUGUGUUCUCAUACAUGUUCUUUUUUUUUUGUUAAUUAGGAUAUUUUUCAUUGCAAUGUGCCAUCCUAAUACUUGAUAAUUUUUCUGUCACUUGUGUGGUGUUGAAAAGACCAGAGACAUUUAGACUCUCUAGACUUUUGUGGAGUCAUUUGAGUGCUCCACGCAUUUAUUUGAGCAUGGUGCAGCUUGCCUGUGCAUAGUUUUUACAGGUCUUUAUCGAUGGUUCCAUUCCUAAUUAUGCCUCUUGCGGUGAGCAUUUGUGCUUAGUGCCUUCUGUGUAUUUUUUAGGCUAAGUUAGACUCUUCAUCUUCGUUUUUGCUAGAAUUUGUCUACAUUGCAAACAAACCAGUAACAUGUGACUUCAGAUGCUAGAUAUUUUAGUUAUUAUUUAUGCAAAUUUCUAGGGAAAUUUGUAUCCAACCUAUUUGACAAUUAUUGAAUGCUUAUUGUCUACUAUGUUGCUUUCUGAAUUGGAAAGAGAUGUUUUUAUGUC